rnacentral:rRNA from 1 species
UACGGAGGAUCCGAGCGUUAUCCGGAUUUAUUGGGUUUAAAGGGAGCGUAGGUGGAUUGUUAAGUCAGUUGUGAAAGUUUGCGGCUCAACCGUAAAAUUGCAGUUGAAACUGGCAGUCUUGAGUACAGUAGAGGUGGGCGGAAUUCGUGGUGUAGCGGUGAAAUGCUUAGAUAUCACGAAGAACUCCGAUUGCGAAGGCAGCUCACUGGACUGCAACUGACACUGAGGCUCGAAAGUGUGGGUAUCAAACUGG